CCUAUGAUGAUUUUCCUUCUGAUUAAUAAUGACGAUUUUAUACCCUCUAAGAAGUACUGAGGUU